CUUCAACAGCAAUGACUUUGCAACACAUUUCCCUUUGCGCUGCUCCUUUAAAUCCGCGUUUCAGUCAUCCGUGCCUCUGCGGUGCAAGCUUUCCUUUGCGCUUCAUUUUUUCUUUGCGCCUCGCUUUGUGUCCCUGAUUUGACGUGGGGGAGGGGUCAAGAGGUUGAGGUGUGUACAAGGGAUGAAGGCGCGUCCUUCUCGUUACGUCAUCAGCGCGAGCCCCAGACCGAGUGGAUCGAUCGAAAUGGAGGAGCAGAGACAUGCGGGUGAUGGAUCACAGGUGGAGGAAGAAGAAACUGAUCACUCUGCAUGGUAUGAUCAAAUUAUUAACUGUGGUUUUAUUGGGGCCGUUAAACCUGAGAACAAAGAGGCCAUAAUAAGAUCAAUUGUGCUUCAUGCAACUCUACGUUUGGUCCCUUUGUUGAAGCAAAUCUGAACAGGUCUUGAACUCUCCAAUCCUGGAAAACCAUUCAGGACUUUGCCACCAGUUCUUUUUCCCUGAUGUGGUGGAUGAUGAUGAUAAGGCUGAUGCAGACUUCAUCAUGCAGAACAUUCUUCCGAAAAUGUCGGAGAAGGGAUCAGUACAAGAGACUUAUGAAACCGCUAUAAUCAACUUUCUGCAAGACUUUCUCCAAGAAAUUGAAAGCUGUGUUAUGUAUGAACUGACAGAGUUGAUUUAGUAUAAAUAUUGUAAAAAAAACCCCACAAAUUAAUGUUAAAAUGUAAUUGAUUUAAUUCAGACAAUAUCAACCCCAUCCAAGCCAUUCAAUUUGACAACGGUUUAAACUGAAUUUAAAAUUAUACUA